GGAAAGCAAGCCAGUAAACAGCAUUUCUCCAAGGCCCAGGGCCCUGCUCCAGUCCUGCCCUGAUUUCCUUCAGGGAUGGAUUGUCACCUAGAACUGCAAACUAGCUGCCUAAGGACAACCAACAGUGCUCAUCCAGCUGCCAGCAUCUUCCGUGGAAGACUGAAUUUGUCCUGAAGGAAAACAGGAUCUCGGGAGACUACACAGCAACAACACCCUUUCUUGGGGCUGGGAAUGACGCAGCUGGGGGAUGCUUAGAGCCCGAGCUUGGCCCACAAUGGGGAAGCCCAGCUGCAAUAAAGUCAUCACAGAAGGAGCAAAGGAGUCAGACCCAAGGACAUCGACUGAACCCCAGAGCCCUUCCCUGGAAGGCUCGGGUACAUCCGAAACCCUGGAAGCUCCUGCUGCGUCUCCCGGAUCCACGCAGAGAACAAGAGGAAGCCUGGAGUCCCAAGAAGUAGCCCGCCAUAGCAAGGCAACAUCUCGGCGCCUGAUCCGCUGUGAUUUGAUCUGCCACGCCACCUCGGAGACAGACGGAGCAGCCCUUCAUUCCGGUCACACUCGCAGCGCUUUGCUGGGUCAGCCGCUGUGACUCAGUGCUGCGCCCUAGACCCGGCUGGCGCACGUGGCUGUGCACACGCGCCCUGGCUUCCAGGAGGCGCAGCCACCGCGAGAGGCCUCCCGGGGGCCCAGGCCAGGGGCGCCGCGGUGCCUACCCAUUAAUUAUUA